AUGAACGCUGGCGGCGUGCCUAAUACAUGCAAGUCGAACGAGAAGUUAUUGUAGCCAUACGAUGACUUUUAGUGGCGAACGGGUGAGUAACGCGUUGGUGAUCUGCCCCGAAGUGGGGGAUAACAGCUCGAAAGGGCUGCUCAUACCCCAUGUGGUUGCGAGAGUUAGAGGUCUUGCAACUCACGGCGUAAUUCGCUUCGGGAGGAGCCUGCGUCCCAUCAGCUAGUUGGUAGGGUAACGGCCUACCAAGGCAAAGACGGGUAGGGGACCGGAGAGGGUGACCACCCACACUGGAACUGAAACACGGUCCAGACACCUAAGGGGGGCAGCAGUAGGGAAUAGUGCACAAGGGACGAAAGUCGGAUGCAGCAACGCCGCGUGUGCGAGGAAGGCCUUCGGGGUGUAAAGCACUUUUAUGAGGGAAGAGCAAGGACUGUACCUCAUGAAUAAGGAUCGGCUAACUACGU
rnacentral:rRNA from 1 species